CAGGACACAGGAGGUUUCUGAGCAGGAUAAUGUUCAGAGUUUGGGCCUGGGAUUCCUGACUGCCAAGGUCUUCAGAGGUGAUCAAGGCUCUGAUGUUAGCUGUUCUUGAUGAAGCUCUGGACUGACUUCACAUGGAGAAACGACAAGACAGAGGAGAUGCUCCACAGGACUGGGACUUCAUUGUUCUAGUACUUCAAUAGGGUGUACCAGUGACUAGAACCCGGGCUGUGCUCAUGGCAAAGCAAGGACCCUUCCAGCCACCAGGUUCCAGAUGCUAACAUGAUGUCAGCUGGACUUCCCUGUGCAGACGACCCCACCAAUGUGUCCUGGAGCCCCACUUCCCCAGAACCCUGCCCCACUAGGGAAAGAGUAAGAGAGGCUGGGGUCCAUAUGGAUCAACCUGCCAACACACAUGUUCAAUGGGGAAGCAACUGAAGCCAAACCUUCCACCUUUGCACCCCAUAAUGACCGUUGGUCCAUACUCCCAGAGGGAUAAAGAAUAUAAAAGCUAUCAGGGGAGGGUAUGGAAUAUGGAGUUCUGGUGGUGGGAACUGUGUGGAAUUGUACCCC